GACAGAGGAUGCAAGCGUUAUCCGGAAUGAUUGGGCGUAAAGCGUCUGUAGGUGGCUUUUUAAGUCCGCCGUCAAAUCCCAGGGCUCAACCCUGGACAGGCGGUGGAAACUACCAAGCUGGAGUACGGUAGGGGCAGAGGGAAUUUCCGGUGGAGCGGUGAAAUGUGUAGAUAUUGGAAAGACCACCGAUGGCGAAGGCACUCUACUGGGCCAUGACUGACACUGAGAGACGAAAGCUAGGGGAGCAAAUGGG
rnacentral:rRNA from 1 species